GAACUUUACGAGAAAAUAAUCGUAAUAUUACGAGAAUAAAGUCAUAACUUUACAAGAAAAUGUCGUAAUAUAACGAGAUUAAAGUCGGAACUUUACGAGAAAAAAAGUCAUAAUAUUACGAGAAAAAAAGUCGGAAUAUUACAAGAAUAGUCAUAACUUUACGAGAAA